rnacentral:rRNA from 1 species
GACGAACGCUGGCGGCGUGCUUAACACAUGCAAGUCGAACGGAAAGGCCCUGCUUUUGUGGGGUGCUCGAGUGGCGAACGGGUGAGUAGCACGUGAGUAACCUGCCCUUGACUUUGGGAUAACUUCAGGAAACUGGGGCUAAUACCGGAUAGGAGCUCCUGCUGCAUGGUGGGGGUUGGAAAGUUUCGGCGGUUGGGGAUGGACUCGCGGCUUAUCAGCUUGUUGGUGGGGUAGUGGCUUACCAAGGCUUUGACGGGUAGCCGGCCUGAGAGGGUGACCGGCCACAUUGGGACUGAGAUACGGCCCAGACUCCUACGGGAGGCAGCAGUGGGGAAUAUUGCACAAUGGGCGGAAGCCUGGUGCAGCAACGCCGCGUGCGGGAUGACGGCCUUCGGGUUGUAAACCGCUUUCGCCUGUGACGAAGCGUGAGUGACGGUAAUGGGUAAAGAAGCACCGGCUAACUACGUG